AAUCCAUGGUGUGGAAACAACCUCAACAUUUCCUUAAAUCACUCUCAAACUUCGAAGCAAGAUUCCUUAUCUUCUUGCUUACAGAAAGUUAUUUGGUUUCUUAGCUU